rnacentral:tRNA from 1 species
GGGGGUAUAGCUCAGUGGUAGAGCACCCGCAUACGUAUCGGAAGGUCGGGGGUUCGACUUUCUCUGCCUCCA